GGAGGUAUAGCUCAGCGGGAGAGCACACGACUGAAGCUCGUGGUGUCCUGGGUUCGACUCCCAGUACCUCCA
rnacentral:tRNA from 1 species